ACUCAAAGGAAUAGACGGGGGCCCGCACAAGCGGUGGAGCACGUGGUUUAAUUCGAUGCAAACCGAAGAACCUUACCUGGGUUUGACAUGUUAGUGGUAGAAGGAUGAAAGUUUGACGACUUAACAAUAGGUUAAGAGCUAACACAGGUGCUGCAUGGCUGUCGUCAGCUCGUGUCGUGAGAUGUUGGGUCAAGUCCCGCAACGAGCGCAACCCCUGCAUUUAGUUGCUACCGAGAGAGACGAGCACUCUAGAUGGACUGCUGCCGAUAAGGUAGAGGAAGGUGGGGACGACGUCAAGUCAUCAUGGCCCUUAUGUCCAGGGCGACACACGUGCUACAAUGGCCGGUACAGAGGGAAGCGAGUCCGAGAGGGUAAGCGGAUCCCAUAAAGCCGGUCGCAGUUCGGAUUGAGGUCUGCAACUCGACCUCAUGAAGUUGGAAUCGCUAGUAAUCGCAGAUCAGCCAAGCUGCGGUGAAUACGUUCCCGGGCCUUGUACACACCGCCCGU
rnacentral:rRNA from 1 species